UAUUGAAUGGUCAAAGUUUUCUGCAAUCUUGCAGCAAACAUUCUUUAUUAUUUUAAACUUUCUGGCAAUCUUACGGCAAACAUUGAUGUUUCUGCAAACUUGCCGCAAGCUUGCAGCAAUGUUUGCCGGAAGUUUGCAGCUAGCGUCAAACAUCUGCAAACACUAUUUUCUGUGUUCCUGCAAACAAUUCAGUUUCAUAAGGGUAUUUGAAUAAAUGUCUGUAUAGGUUGCACUUUGUAAAUACAGCUGUUUCUCAAACACGCCUCUUUUAGGGAGUAAUUGAAUAUUCAUAGAAAAUUGAUUGGUUCUCAGUUAUACUCUCUGUGUUCAAUAUCGCAGAGACAGAACUUGGGAAUGUUACCAGUAAAUAAACACGUGCAUAUUGUUUACAUUGAAAUUUGUGGUAACCUUUCAUUCGAGGUAGGGGUCGUUAAGAAAAUAAGUGUAAGUUUAAACUCUGAGAAGUUCAGGGCAUAUAAACGUUGAAAAUAUGCCGCACAGCCCUAUAUUUUGACCUUUGAAAAAAAUUGUGGUGCAUAUGAACUUUCAAUUCUAGGAUAAGAUUUUUUUUCAAAACUUCAUAGUAAAAGUGGUACAGUUUUAGCCGUAAAAGGAGUUCCUAUGGGAAAUUGCAUUGUCAAUAUUUACAGAAAUGCAACCUAAAGAGGGAGGCAAAACAUGCAUACACAAAGGCCUUAAUAGAAAACAUUCCUGCGAAGUCCAAUCUGUGACGCGCCCUCUUCCAGAAGGAGGCAAAACAUGCAUACGCAAAGGCCUUAACAGAAAACAU
rnacentral:lncRNA from 1 species